GCCUGAGUGGCUCAGUCAGUAAAGCGUCUGACUUUGGCUCAGAUCACGAUCUCACAGUUCACGGGUUCAAGCCCCGCGUCGGGCU
rfam:Felis catus isolate Cinnamon breed Abyssinian chromosome B3, whole genome shotgun sequence.